GACGAACGCUGGCGGCGUGCUUAACACAUGCAAGUCGAACGGAAAGGCCUCUUUCGGGGGGUACUCGAGUGGCGAACGGGUGAGUAACACGUGAGUAACCUGCCCUUGACUUUGGGAUAACUUCAGGAAACUGGGGCUAAUACCGGAUAGGAGCUCCUGCUGCAUGGUGGGGGUUGGAAAGUUUCGGCGGUUGGGGAUGGACUCGCGGCUUAUCAGCUUGUUGGUGGGGUAGUGGCUUACCAAGGCUUUGACGGGUAGCCGGCCUGAGAGGGUGACCGGCCACAUUGGGACUGAGAUACGGCCCAGACUCCUACGGGAGGCAGCAGUGGGGAAUAUUGCACAAUGGGUGGAAGCCUGAUGCAGCAACGCCGUGUGCGGGAUGACGGCCUU
rnacentral:rRNA from 1 species